rnacentral:miRNA from 1 species
UAUUGCACUCAUCUUCCAUGGC